UACAGAGGUCUCAAGCGUUGUUCGGAUUCAUUGGGCGUAAAGGGUGCGUAGGCGGUCGCGUAAGUCAGGUGUGAAAUCUCAGGGCUCAACCCUGAAACUGCACUUGAUACUGCGUGGCUCGGGUACUGGAGAGGAGACUGGAAUUUACGGUGUAGCAGUGAAAUGCGUAGAUAUCGUAAGGAAGACCAGUGGCGAAGGCGGCUACCUGGCCCAAUACUGACACUCAGGUGCGACAGCGUGGGGAGCAAACAGG
rnacentral:rRNA from 1 species